CCCCUCCAGCCCCCGCCCUCCUCGGGGCGCCGCUCAUCCGUCUGGAGGGCAUCAAGGUUGGCUACAAGCAGAAGAUGGAGCUGAUCCCCAACAAAAUACACGAUGUGAAGACCCUCAGCUUGAAGCCUCUUCUCUUUGGGACUUCAGGACAAUGGCUGGGAUCUGCAACUAUCAGGAGCCCAUGGGUCUGAGCACAUCCUUUACACCACUGGAUCAGAGGUUUGUGAUUUGGGGGAUAUACUUGGACCCAUGUGUCAUCUGAAACUCUGUUUUGAGAAAUAACAUUGGUAUUUUGGUUG
rnacentral:lncRNA from 1 species